rnacentral:sRNA from 1 species
CCAGCUUGUGUAGUGCACACAGCUAUCCCGUGCCGGCGUCAAGUAUCAUGUUAUGUAUGUGUGUUUGCCUUUGUAAAUGCUGGUCUGCUUUAGCAGAGAUCAUGAGAGUACCUAUCGAGAAGUUACCAGAUUGUGUAUUCUCGAAACAUCGAUGUGGCCACCAAGAGGUAUAUAACGGAGUGGCGUAACGCAACACAAGUCAGUCUUACUUGAGAACGCGUAUUGUAAAUGUAUCAGCAAAAAGAAGUUGUAAGGCAAAGACGGCGAUCAAUAAAUCAUUGUUAAGUAAAGUAAUUGUAAACGGACUGUGUUUCAAUUGAAAGUAAAACGUCUACAGUAAAAAAUAGAUUUUACUAAAGAAACUCUAGAAAAGUCGGUAAAAAUCUGGCGAAAGGUCGAGAAAAGAAUGCAAUAAACUUGGUUCAUUUGCUUUUUAAAACAUAUUGAUCCUAACAACCCGCAAAAAUCACAGACUUCAUUGGCUUGGAAAACGAGGCUGAUGACGGAAGAUAACAAAUGCAGAAUUCCUUCAUGUGGAUGUAGAUUUCGUGGUGUUGUCCGCAAAAUGCUAAGAUUGACGGUAUCCACGACGAUGAAGAGAAGCUUAUUAAGGCAAUUUUUUCUUCUUUCUUUUAGAAAAUAUUAAUUAAAAAAUAAAUGUUCACUUUAUUAA